UUUUCGAGCUACCACGUACGCCAAUCUCUUUUUUCUCUUUUUAACUUCUCUCUCCUCCUCACUCUUACCUAAUUACCCCUGCUCCCUGCUCCCUGCUCUUCUUAUCUCUCUUUCUCUCUCCUCCUUCAUUCCUUCAAACCCUAACCACUUCCUUCAAGCCAAAUAGCAACGAUUCAGAUCGAGCAGCCAUAAACAAAGAAAAGGAAAGAGGAAUGGAGAAAGAAAGUGAACAAAAUUACGGAAAUUAAGCUCUUUAAUUUCCCGAAUGCUCGAUCGAUUCGACGAGUUGAUCUGAUGAUACUUGAUUUACCCGGAUUUGACAAGUUGAAGCAAUCUUCUGCAAUUUUAGAGGUCUAUAGCUUCUGGGUUUCUCCACAAAGCUCGAAAUUGGUGGGAUUAAAUGAUAUAGAAAAUUAGAUUUUUGAAUGAGCAAGAGUUCAAAAUAGUAGUGAAAUAGCUUUUAUUUGUUUACUUUUUUUUUCAUAUUAAUACAGAUUUAAGUAGUAUUAGUGUGGAUUUUGGUAUAUGAAUUUUGUUCCUAUUAUAGUAUCUCAGUAUUUAUACAUGUAGACGUGCUCAAUUGUAUGAAUAUAUAAAUUGGUUUUUUUUGGAA